AAAUUUGAAAUCUGGUAGCCUUCGGUUGCCCGAGUUGUAAUCUAGAGAAGUGUUUUCCGUGCCGGCCCAUGUACAAGUCCCUUGGAACAGGGCGUCAUAGAGGGUGAGAAUCCCGUCCUUGACAUGGACCCCCGGUGCUUUGUGAUACACUUUCAACGAGUCGAGUUGUUUGGGAAUGCAGCUCAAAAUGGGUGGUGAAUUCCAUCUAAAGCUAAAUAUUGGCGAGAGACCGAUAGCGAACAAGUACCGUGAGGGAAAGAUGAAAAGCACUUUGGAAAGAGAGUUAAACAGUACGUGAAAUUGUUGAAAGGGAAACGAUUGAAGUCAGUCAUGCUCUUAGGAUUCAGCCGUUCUGCGGUGUAUUUCCUUUGAGUGGGGUCAACAUCAGUUUUGAUCGAUGGAUAAAGGCACGAGGAAGGUAGCACUCUCGGGUGAACUUAUAGCCUCGCGUCAUAUACAUUGAUUGGGACUGAGGAACGCAGCAUGCCUUUAUGGCCGGGAUUCGUCCACGUACAUGCUUAGGAUGUUGACAUAAUGGCUUUAAACGACCCGUCUUG
rnacentral:rRNA from 1 species